rnacentral:rRNA from 1 species
GGGUUGUGAGGUUAAGCGACUAAGCGUACACGGUGGAUGCCCUGGCAGUCAGAGGCGAUGAAGGGCGUGCUAAUCUGCGAUAAGCGCCGGUAAGGUGAUAUGAACCGUUAUAACCGGCGAUACCCGAAUGGGGAAACCCAGUGUGACUCGUCACACUAUCAUUAACUGAAUCCAUAGGUUAAUGAGGCGAACCGGGGGAACUGAAACAUCUAAGUACCCCGAGGAAAAGAAAUCAACCGAGAUUCCCCCAGUAGCGGCGAGCGAACGGGGAGGAGCCCAGAGCCUGAAUCAGCAUGUGUGUUAGUGGAAGCGUCUGGAAAGGCGCGCGAUACAGGGUGACAGCCCCGUACACAAAAGCGCAUGUGCUGUGAGCUCGAUGAGUAGGGCGGGACACGUGGUAUCCUGUCUGAAUAUGGGGGGACCAUCCUCCAAGGCUAAAUACUCCUGACUGACCGAUAGUGAACCAGUACCGUGAGGGAAAGGCGAAAAGAACCCCGGCGAGGGGAGUGAAAAAGAACCUGAAACCGUGUACGUACAAGCAGUGGGAGCACAGGUUUACCUGUGUGACUGCGUACCUUUUGUAUAAUGGGUCAGCGACUUAUAUUCUGUAGCAAGGUUAACCGAAUAGGGGAGCCGGAGGGAAACCGAGUCUUAACCGGGCGUUAAGUUGCAGGGUAUAGACCCGAAACCCGGUGAUCUAGCCAUGGGCAGGUUGAAGGUUGGGUAACACUAACUGGAGGACCGAACCGACUAAUGUUGAAAAAUUAGCGGAUGACCUGUGGCUGGGGGUGAAAGGCCAAUCAAACCGGGAGAUAGCUGGUUCUCCCCGAAAGCUAUUUAGGUAGCGCCUCGUGAAUUCAUCUCCGGGGGUAGAGCACUGUUUCGGCUAGGGGGCCAUCCCGGCUUACCAACCCGAUGCAAACUGCGAAUACCGGAGAAUGUUAUCACGGGAGACACACGGCGGGUGCUAACGUCCGUCGUGAAGAGGGAAACAACCCAGACCGCCAGCUAAGGUCCCAAAGUCAUGGUUAAGUGGGAAACGAUGUGGGAAGGCCCAGACAGCCAGGAUGUUGGCUUAGAAGCAGCCAUCAUUUAAAGAAAGCGUAAUAGCUCACUGGUCGAGUCGGCCUGCGCGGAAGAUGUAACGGGGCUAAACCAUGCACCGAAGCUGCGGCAGCGAACGUAUCACCCAAGACAACUUUGCGGAGUUGACGAUUGACGGAGCGAAGCGACGUCAAAGCGUUCAUUAAAGUCGAGUUGGCUUAGGGAUACGUUCGUUGGGUAGGGGAGCGUUCUGUAAGCCUGUGAAGGUGGCCUGUGAGGGUUGCUGGAGGUAUCAGAAGUGCGAAUGCUGACAUAAGUAACGAUAAAGCGGGUGAAAAGCCCGCUCGCCGGAAGACCAAGGGUUCCUGUCCAACGUUAAUCGGGGCAGGGUGAGUCGACCCCUAAGGCGAGGCCGAAAGGCGUAGUCGAUGGGAAACGGGUUAAUAUUCCCGUACUUGGUGUUACUGCGAAGGGGGGACGGAGAAGGCUAUGUUGGCCGGGCGACGGUUGUCCCGGUUUAAGCGUGUAGGUGUGUGUUCCAGGUAAAUCCGGUUCACUUUAACACUGAGGCGUGACGACGAGGCACUACGGUGCUGAAGCAACAAAUGCCCUGCUUCCAGGAAAAGCCUCUAAGCAUCAGGUAACAUCAAAUCGUACCCCAAACCGACACAGGUGGUCAGGUAGAGAAUACCAAGGCGCUUGAGAGAACUCGGGUGAAGGAACUAGGCAAAAUGGUGCCGUAACUUCGGGAGAAGGCACGCUGAUAUGUAGGUGAAGCGGUUUACCCGUGGAGCUGAAAUCAGUCGAAGAUACCAGCUGGCUGCAACUGUUUAUUAAAAACACAGCACUGUGCAAACACGAAAGUGGACGUAUACGGUGUGACGCCUGCCCGGUGCCGGAAGGUUAAUUGAUGGGGUCAGCGCAAGCGAAGCUCCUGAUCGAAGCCCCGGUAAACGGCGGCCGUAACUAUAACGGUCCUAAGGUAGCGAAAUUCCUUGUCGGGUAAGUUCCGACCUGCACGAAUGGCGUAAUGAUGGCCAGGCUGUCUCCACCCGAGACUCAGUGAAAUUGAACUCGCUGUGAAGAUGCAGUGUACCCGCGGCAAGACGGAAAGACCCCGUGAACCUUUACUAUAGCUUGACACUGAACAUUGAGCCUUGAUGUGUAGGAUAGGUGGGAGGCUUUGAAGCGUGGACGCCAGUCUGCGUGGAGCCGACCUUGAAAUACCACCCUUUAAUGUUUGAUGUUCUAACGUGGACCCGUAAUCCGGGUUGCGGACAGUGUCUGGUGGGUAGUUUGACUGGGGCGGUCUCCUCCUAAAGAGUAACGGAGGAGCACGAAGGUUGGCUAAUCCUGGUCGGACAUCAGGAGGUUAGUGCAAUGGCAUAAGCCAGCUUGACUGCGAGCGUGACGGCGCGAGCAGGUGCGAAAGCAGGUCAUAGUGAUCCGGUGGUUCUGAAUGGAAGGGCCAUCGCUCAACGGAUAAAAGGUACUCCGGGGAUAACAGGCUGAUACCGCCCAAGAGUUCAUAUCGACGGCGGUGUUUGGCACCUCGAUGUCGGCUCAUCACAUCCUGGGGCUGAAGUAGGUCCCAAGGGUAUGGCUGUUCGCCAUUUAAAGUGGUACGCGAGCUGGGUUUAGAACGUCGUGAGACAGUUCGGUCCCUAUCUGCCGUGGGCGCUGGAGAACUGAGGGGGGCUGCUCCUAGUACGAGAGGACCGGAGUGGACGCAUCACUGGUGUUCGGGUUGUCAUGCCAAUGGCACUGCCCGGUAGCUAAAUGCGGAAGAGAUAAGUGCUGAAAGCAUCUAAGCACGAAACUUGCCCCGA